AACUCAACCACUGAGCCACAUCCCCAGCCCUAUUUCUUAUUUUAUUUAGAGACAGCGUUUCACCGAGUUGCUUAGCACCUCUCUUUUGCUGAGGCUGACUCUAAACUCACAAUCCCCCUGCCUUCACCUCUAAGCAUGUGCCACCGAGCCGGCUAUACUAUGCCUUCUCAAGAUGGCCUUUUUGUUGUUGUUGAACAUUGUGUUUCUGAGACUUAUCCAUAUUGUGAAUGUAGAUUUAGCACAUUAAUUUUAAUUUCUGUAACCAUAUAAUAGGAUCCAUUAAUUUCCAUUUAUGUUCAAGGUUAUUAUGGAUAGGUAAGGAUUUUUUAAAAUUGUUUUCUAAUUGUCUUGCAGAUCCUUUAUUACUUUCUUCCUGUGCAUUUUGUGUGUGUGUGUCUAUAUGUCAUAAGUUUUUGCCUUGUGCUUACCAUGAGGUUAUUAUAUUUAAUAACUUUGACUUUCAGCCUUCAUACUGAAGUUAAAAGUGAUUUACACACCACCACUACAGUAUUAGAGUAAUCCAAUUUGAGUGUGUACUUACUUUCACCAGCGAGUUUCAGAAGUUUUCAUGUUACUUGUUAGCAUUCUUGCCUGUAGCUUCAAAAACUCAUCCCAUUUCUUAUUGAUGGAUAUGUGACUUGCUCCAUGCUAGCUCUUGGCCAGAGGUUGAAUUCAGUUCUUUGCUAAAGGAGCCUCUGCAGAGGGCAUUUUAUAAGAUGCCAACUUGCUUUACCAAAGCCACAAGGAAUAAUACUCACUAACAAGACAGAAGCCAGGAUCUUAAAUAAUCUGUUCAUGCAAUUGUCAGUGUUUGCAAAUUCUAUUGGUUAGAGAGUAGACACAGGUCCAAGUCAUACACAAAAAGUGGGGAUUAUGCAGAAAUACGAAUAACAGGAGGUGGGGUUUAUUACAUACCAUCUUACAUUCUAACCCCCACCCCCCACAGGAAUAACAAUGAAGGAUAGUAGAUACCCCACGGUUACAGAUCUGAAGGCUUUAGCAAGUCUAGAGAUUUACUUCUCUUUCAUUUAAAAAUCUGAAUAGGCAGUGUAAGUUGGUAUGACAGCUCCUUAAUCAUCAGGGGCCCAUGCUCCUUCUAUCUCAUCGACCUGCCAUUCCCAACACGUGGCUUCUCAUUGUGCAAGAUAGCUGCCAUAGCGCUUGCUGCAUUCCAAUGCCUCAGGUCCAACCCACAUACUGUGGGCAGAAUAAUUGUACUAAAGCACAAAUAUGAUUAUCUCUCUUCUCUGGUCAAAACCUAUCAGUGGCAGUUCGAGUCUACAAAAGAGUAUCCCAAACCAUUUGUACCAUUAACCCCUAUGCUCAAAUGUACAUACAGACAUAUGUACAUUUAUUAAUUUUUUAUUUAUACACACCCACACUCAACCAUACGUCUAUAAAGGAAACAUAAGCCCUACAAACUAGCAUUUAUCCUUGUUGCAGAUCUUGUGCUCUGAUAGUGUCUAUUCCAUUUCAUUCACAUUUAAUUCAUGAACUAGUUGGAUGUGAGAAGGCACAGCCUACAAGUGACUUGGCCCUGCCCACUCUUCCUUGCUGUCUGCAGACUGCCCUCCUCACACUCCCUGACGUUGGUGCCCACACACCUCCUCUCCUGACCACCGCAGCUUCCCCCACUCUGCCUUUCACCUUCCCAGCUCCUCUGUGCCCUGCAAGAAUCAGCCCAGGUGAGAAACCUCAGACAUCCCUCAGACACUGCUCUCCCAACCCUGGUCUGCUCUCCAACAGCGAAGCCCGGUGUGCAGCAAAAGAAGAGCUGUUCAAGUGAGUUUUGAUCAAGUACCCCACAUGACUAAUCCAGGCCCUCCAAAAUAGCACCAUGGAGCCAAAGUGAGGUAAUGCGGCAGGUUAUGGGAGGAUAGUUAAGGACAUGUCCUGCAGCUGCUUCAGAUGCCAGGGUGAGCCAGAACGUUCAGGAAUGCAGCAGAGGAGAGCAGAGUGAAUCCCCAAACAGACUCAGUGUCUCACCUUCAGAUACUACUUUGACCCCAGGAAGCCCAGUGUGCUGAGGGCAAUUCUGCAACCCGAUCUGAUACAUUAACAAAUAGACCAAAUUAAAAACAGAAACAGAUCAUAUUAAAAAGAAUGAGAUAUUGUAAGGUAACAACUCAAGCUUUGGGCUUCACUGAAAAUCCCAAGAGCACAAUAGCAGCAUCAUAAAUAUCCUAACCCCUCAAACUACUGGGUUCUCCCUCUAGUUAAUAACACUAGCAACUGUUUAUAUUUGUUCUGAAUUUUAUACUCUGUGAGGUGUUUCAUCUCAUUUUAUCCUCACAGCAGUCCUGUGAGAUAGGUACAAGUAUUAGAUUCCUUUUGUAGGCAAGGAAACAGAUUUAGAGAGGUUAAACCAUGGCCCAUGGGUCACACAGCUUGUAAGUAAAUAGAACUGUUUGGGUUUCUAAUUUAUCAUAGUACCAAUUUGUUACAAUGGGAUAACAAUCAGAAACAUGGGUUCUAAUCCCCAGGUGGCUAGCUACGCAGCUGUGUGAUCUUGGACUAACCAUUCAACUUUCCAGGCUUCCUUUCCUCAUUUAUAAAAACUGUAUAAUGCCACCCCUAUCUGCCUCCCAGGGUGCUUAAGAGCACAAUACAGCGGGUAUUGUGGAACUGCUCUGUAACCCACGUGGUAAUCCACAGAUGUCAGAUAUUAGCAAUCUUUCUAACAAUAACCAGAGUAAUAAUUAUUAUAAUCUUUUUACUUUGGCAGUAACUUUCAUCACAACCGUUCAGUAACUUCUCAGCUUAUUAUCAUCUAUAAAGCACCCCUGUGGGUACCAUAUCUCAAGGUGAAUCAGCUACAGAUCAGUGAAGGAGGGGGCUCUUCUUCCUGGCAUAAUCUCAGAGCAGGGAUUCCCAGUGUUGUGUCCACUGGAAUUCAUUGAGGAGCUUUAGACAGACAGGUUUCCAAGCCCCACACUGACCAAUGACCACUUUAAUCUUGGGGCAGGGAAGGAACUGAGCAUCAAUUUUUUUUUUUAAGUCUACAAGUCUAUUCUAAUAUGCAGAUAAGAUUGGAAACUACUGCUACUGAGACUAUUUAUCAUCUUCAUGGCUACUGAAAGGGAUCUCAGUUUUAAAAGGACACAGCUUCUGGUUCUGUAAAUACCCAUCCCUUUGUUACAAAGAUGGAAGUAUGUAAGUCAAGAAGAACUGAGGUUUCUUGGGAAAGAAAUCCAGGAGCUGAACACUGAGCUCAGACCAUAAGCAUCCUAAAGAACCACCAACACAUAUACAGCAAGCCUACUGUGUUAGUCAGCUUUCCAUGGCUGUGACAAAAUAUCUGAUAUAAUCAAAUUAAAAGGAGGAAAGGUUAUUUGGGGCUAUGGUUUCAGGAUUCAGUUCAUGGUUGCUAUGCCCUAUUGCCUUGGGCCUGUGGCGGCACAAUACAUUAUUAUGGGAGCACAUGACAAAGGAGGCCUGUUCACCUCACCAGGGAAGCAAAGAGAGAAAGAGGAAAGGGCUGGGAUCCCAAUAUCCCCUUUAAGGGCGCUCCCCUGUGACCUGACAUACUUCCACUAGAGCCUGCCUCCCAAAGUUCUACCACUUCCUAAUAGUGCCACAGGCUGGUCACGAAGUUGUUAAUACACAGGCCUUUAGGGGACAUUUCAAGAUCCAUUUCUAAACUGCCACUGUUGGAGGGAAGCAAGGGUGGAUAAGGCAGUAAACACAGCAGAGCAUCCUGAUCAGAGAGUCUCUUCCCCAUUGCUGUUCCUCCACCAAAAUCUGCUUCUCGAAAGCAUUCCACCAUACCUUCCCUAUGCCAGAGUGAAUAGAAAAUUGUAUACUUAAAAAAAAAAAAGAUCUUGAAGGAUAAUACAUAACCAACUAGUGGCCAAUUCUACAAUUCUUCCCUACUGAUAAUAAGGAAAUAAUCACACAACAUUUAAUAUUAAUUCCUUCCUUUGAAUUCCAAUGUAUUUUGUAAAUUGUACAUGUAUAAUGUUUCAUUUUCGGGUUAACACAAAUAAGCAUAAAUUUACCUUAUAAAUAAAAGUGUGAUUUUUUUUAAUCCACACAAAAGUAGUUUCUAGUAAAAAGAUUGGUUCAGCUAUUUAUCUUAAAUUUCCUAAAGAAGCCAUUAUCAGAAGAAAAAAACCCAGUAAAAUUCAAAAUAUUGCUAUCUAAUAUUAGAGUUUGAUUUUGUGUCUCCACCAGAGAUGAAGUAGCAUUUCCACAUCUAUUAACCUUUUAAUUUGCUUCUCAUCCCCGAAAUGAAGAAACAAAAUAAUAAAAGGAUUUGACUUUGGGGGAAGUUCCCUUUGGAACUGGGAAUCACCCAAAUGAGAUAGUUUAGAAGUGCUCUUGGGAUGAGUUUCACUGUCUCAUUUGAUCACUUCUUUCACAAGACUGCAAAUAAUUUGGAUUGGGGUAAACUCCUAUUAUAAGACCUAGAGGUCCUAGAGGUUUAAAUUAUAAAGAGGGUUGUCUCUCAUUUGAGAUUUUAUAGUGCAAAGCAAUAGCUUGGAGACAAAUCCCUACACCUCUGGGAUCCCACAAAAGUGGUAAUUAGGCAACAUUUCACUGUGAUGCAGUGAUUGGGCAAAAGAUGGGACUGGACUACUCUCAGAGGUGUAGGACAAAAUUGACUUCCUUCAGAGCUGACAGAAGAAUCUGGAAACCUAAAAAUAUUUAAAGAAACUAAAGCCCCGUAGAGAGAAUUUCCAGCUAUUGAAGUGAAAGAGAUGAAACAUUUUCUAGAUUUGAAAAGAGAUUUUCUUUUUUUUAGUUGUAGAUGUACACAAUACCUUUAUCUCUUUAUUUUUAUGUGGUACCAGGGAUUGAGCCCAGUGCCUCGUGCAUACUAGGCAAGUGCUCUAUCACUGAGCCACAACCCUGGCCCAGAGAUUUUUUUCUUAAUGAAAAACUCAACAAAGUUCACCAGAGUUUGGGUAGAACAUUUAAAAAAAAAUAACAAUAACAAGAUCAGAUGUAUCAUUUACAGAGUAAUCUAAUUGAAGACUUUUAUCUUUUUCUUUAUAAUGUCUUAAGAAGAAGAAUCUAAAAAUAGACCCUAUAGAUAAUGAACUCUUCUUUUUCCUGAGUUUGUUAGAACGCAACACCUUCAUGACCCAGAGGACGCAUUCCAUCUCACCACCUCUGAGACAUAAAUCCUGACAAGGUCUUAUAGUUUCUCCUCUGGCCUCUAAUUACAAUUCUGUAAUUUAUUCCUUAACAGGGCCUACAUUUCAUGUCCUUAUAUGAAUGAGAUGCAGUGUGUUCUGUGGUUAAGCCCUUGGACACCAGGCCCAGCUGCCUGACCUUGGCAAUGACUUCACCUCUUUGUGCCUUGGUUUCCUUGGCUGUAGGAUGGGAGAAACCAAAGUACCAGCACCUUUGGGUUGUCAGGAGAAUUAGGCAGUUAUUAUCCAGAAAAGAAGUAGGGAAAGUACGCAAGCACAGUAAGAAGUCUAUAAAUGUUUGCUAUUAUUGCCACCACAUUUCGUGAUUCUUUAGCACCUAUAAAAAUAGCUAGCAUAUUUUAAAGUUAUAAAACAAGACACAUGGUCUAAUAAAAGAUUAUUUUCAGAUUCAUGGAUUUAUUUAUGUGCAAAGUCUCAACAAGAUAUUUAGUUACACGUAUAAGGUAUCAUUUUUUAAUUAUAUACCACCCUAAAAUCUAAAAAUUAUUCCACAGCAUGGUCCCUGACCUCAAGCAGUUUGUAUUCCACUUGAGAAACAGAGCAUAUGCCCAUGAAAUGUUAAACAAAAAUCCAAAACACUUCAUGAUUACAUAUAAAGUGAGUAGUUCAGACCAUAAGAGCUACAAAAAUGCAGAGGAGAAGGAACUCUGAGGGAAUCCGGCUUCAUUGUGUACCUAAAGGUGAUGAAGAAGUGCAUUUGGACAAUGAAAUAUAGGCAGGGAAAAGAAGGAGAUUUUGCAGCAGGGAGGGAGAUGUGAAGGGGACGGCAAAGAAUGGAAUCAUUCAUCUGGAAUGUGUAGUUUUCUGUUUAAAAUUGGGUGAAAUCCUUUGGUGAAGGAAUUCCAGGCAUAGGCCACAUAGCUGAGAGCUUCCAAUGCCAGACUGAAAUAGUUGUGACUUCGCCCUGGGAGUCCUCAGUUUUGCCUUCUGGAGUCUCAGCCAUUACAUCUGCCAUUGCAUGGGUUUGUCCUAAAGUUCAUCUCUCCACUGCACUAGUGCCUUGAUUACCUUAGUUCUCUCAGCAGCUGAUCUUCUGCUCUUGCCCAAUAAUAAAGUAUUGUUUAAUGAA